UUCGCCCUUAGAGUUUGAUCCUGGCUCAGAACGAACGCUGGCGGCAUGCCUAACACAUGCAAGUCGAACGAAGGCUUCGGCCUUAGUGGCGCACGGGUGCGUAACGCGUGGGAAUCUGCCCUUAGGUUCGGAAUAACAGCUGGAAACGGCUGCUAAUACCGGAUGAUAUCGCGAGAUCAAAGAUUUAUCGCCUGAGGAUGAGCCCGCGCUUGGAUUAGGUAGUUGGUGGGGUAAAGGCCUACCAAGCCGACGAUCCAUAGCUGGUCUGAGAGGAUGAUCAGCCACACUGGGACUGAGACACGGCCCAGACUCCUACGGGAGGCAGCAG
rnacentral:rRNA from 1 species